CUGAUCAGAGUUCAGGGCCGGCAUGUUCCAGUAAGGAGAAAGCACAAGGAUGACAAGAUUUCAAAUAUUCCACAACUUUAAUGUGAUGAUGAGCAGGGGAGCUCCCCAGCUGUCUUUAAGCAGAAGAGCAGAGAGAAUUAAAGAUGGAUUGAUAACCACAAUAACUGAAAGCCUCUCUCCCUCGCUACUCUUCAACAUCUAAGAAGACAAUACCUGAUGGAAAAGGAAAUUGGGGAAUCAGCCGAAGAUAUCUACUAAACUUCAUCAUUACUGAGGAUACAAGUUAGCAAUUAAACAAUGCGGUCUCAAAAAUUCUAACAGCUCAAGGAGUCUAAAAACUUUUAGACUGUGUUGCCUUUAUUCUUCCUGCCUGUACCAGAUGUUCUCCCAUUUAAAUUUAUUACCUGUGU